GACGAACGCUGGCGGCGUGCCUAAUACAUGCAAGUCGAACGGUCUUUUCUAUGGAAGCUCGCUUCCACUGAGAAGAUAGUGGCGAACGGGUGAGUAACACGUGGGUAACCUGCCCAUAAGAGGGGGAUAACAUCCGGAAACGGGUGCUAAUACCGCAUAGGUUACUUGAUCGCAUGACCGAGAAAGGAAAGACGGCCUUUGUGCUGUCGCUUAUGGAUGGACUCGCGGCGUAUUAGUUAGUUGUUGAGGUAACGGCUCACCAAGACGAUGAUACGUAGCCGACGUGAGAGGGUGAUCGGCCACAAUGGGACUGAGACACGGCCCAAACUCUUACGGGAGGCAGCAGUAGGGAAUCUUCCGCAAUGGACGAAAGUCUGACGGAGCAACGCCGCGUGAGUGAAGAAGGUUUUCGGAUCGUAAAACUCUGUUGUCAGAGAAGAACAAGUCGGAGAGUAACUGCUCCGGCCUUGACGGUAUCUGACCAGAAAGCCACGGCUAACUACGUGCCAGCCGCCGCCGUAAGAC
rnacentral:rRNA from 1 species